rnacentral:rRNA from 1 species
UACGUAGGGUGCAAGCGUUAAUCGGAAUUACUGGGCGUAAAGCGUGCGCAGGCGGUUUUGCAAGACAGAUGUGAAAUCCCCGGGCUUAACCUGGGAACUGCAUUUGUGACUGCAAGGCUAGAGUGUGUCAGAGGGAGGUGGAAUUCCGGCGUGUAGCAGUGAAAUGCGUAGAGAUGCGGAGGAACACCGAUGGCGAAGGCAGCCUCCUGGGAUAACACUGACGCUCAUGCACGAAAGCGUGGGGAGCAACAGGAU